GACGGAGGAUGCAAGCGUUAUCCGGAAUUAUUGGGCGUAAAGCGUCCGCAGGUGGCUGUUCAAGUCUGCUGUCAAAGCGCAGAGCUUAACUCUGUACAGGCGGUGGAAACUGAAGAGCUAGAGUAUGGUAGGGGUAGAGGGAAUUCCCGGUGUAGCGGUGAAAUGCGUAGAGAUCCGGAGGAACACCAGUGGCGAAGGCGACACGCUGGGCCGUACCUGACACUGAUGCGCGACAGCAUGGGGAGCAAACAGG
rnacentral:rRNA from 1 species